CAAAGGGAUACCGAGAUCAGUGACUGACUGGGGACUCUAUCACCUGUGCCACCCAUAGGAGUGUCCUAGGAUGACCACCGAGAAGCUGACUUUGAGGCAAGGAUUUGAGUACUACAAGUUCUCUGAAGUCCAGACCAGCAUCUAGAAGAGCACCUGCCAUGUACCCACUGCCCAGCAAGUUACUGGCUGUCAGCAGAAAGGGCCCGGAUCUGACGAUGUGAGAGAAGCAAAGAAGCUAGGACCAGAAGUCCUGGGUUCUCGUUCUUCCUGCUUGUCUGACAUGCUGUGUGACAUUGUAUAACUGACUUAACCUCUCUGGGCCUCAGCUUCUUUACUGGUAGUGUGAAAAGGGUGGUUCCUGCUGUAUAAUGUUGCUCUGAGGAGCAGUAUCUGGUGCAUGGAGAGGGAGAAAAGGCAGGCAUGGGGCACAGGGAGUUGUGUUGGCUGCCCUCUCUCUUCUGGGUCUAACAUCUUUGGUAUAAUCUACAAAGUUGACUGUGUCGAUGACAAAGAUCCUGAACCUUCUCCUCCCUUCCCUUCCAGAAAGUGUUUCUAUUUUAGACUUGCCAUCCCAGCCCCCUUAGUCCCUGAAUAAUACAGAGUUCCUGAGAACCUUGCUGACAUUUCCCUAAAAGGAAGACACAAGGGUGAAAACUCCCUCCAAAUGAAAUCCCAGGCAGGCUGUUGGUUCGUUGGCCCUGGUCCAGGCAGGCUGCCCCUAGGGUUAGCGUUGGAAGGCCAGCAGGCAAAUGGGAAGUCAGGAGAGGGUGGUUUAGAGAGUCCCAGACCCAGGAGGUAGCAGAGGGUCACAGAUGCCAGGAGGUCACAGGGUCGUGGGGGAUGGCCGAGGUGGGGGUCAUGCACGUAGAAGGUGGCCUGCAAGAGGCCCUUUGCAAGAAGUGUGUCUGUGAUAUCUGUAACACUGGACAAACCCUCCCUAGAGCUGUGGUGCCUGCCUUGCUUAGCUCAUGGGGAGAAUGAAAAAUCUCUUCCUUUUCUUGGCAGAUGCCAUCUCUGGGGGAGUGCUCGAUACCUUUCUUCCCCUCAACACCCAGCAGUAACGCAACAGCCAGAGGAAAAGGUGGUAUCCCCCUGCCGGGAUGCCAGCAGAGGUCACACUGCCAGGGCCGCAGGGCCAAUGGUGAAAGGCCAGGGGCACAUCUGGCUCAGCCUCCGAAUGCAGGGGAGCAGGGCAGCUGUCCUGGGCCCAGUUAAACUCAGGACUCAGCUCAGAGGUCCCCUCCCCUGGAGUCCUUCCCUGCCCACCGACCUAAUGUGGACGUCUCCCUUCUCCCUAUCCCUUUUAGCACCUUGCUUGCUCCCUUCUUGGAUGGAAAUGUACUUGUUUACUGCCUGUUUCAACCACUGGCGUGUGAGCUCCCUCUGUAUUCCUGCUCCAUGUGCGCCAGGCACAGUAGGUGCCUCUUACUUGUAGAAUGAAUAGAGGAAUGCUUCUUCCAAAGAAUUUAGCCCACUGUGAGAUGCUCAAUCAUUCUAAGUUGAUGGAAAAUACAAAGAGAAAGAAGAAAAAACCACUGUUCCCUGUCUGAGCGAAGCCGGUCUGCGUGCUGUGCUGCAGGCGUGCACUGAGUAUUGCUGAUGUUUAGUCGCUCAGGCGUGUCCUACCCUUUGUAACGCUAUGGACUGUAGACUGCCAGGCUCCACUGUCCAUGGGGUUUCCCAGGCAAGGAUACUAGAGUGGGCUGUGCACUAAGUGCCCCCCAAGCAGGGACUGAGUGGAUACUACAUGCGUAUACUAUGGGAGUGUGCUACAAACGUGCACUGUGGGCCGACCUUUGUGCUUGGGGCUUCACAUAUGUUAGUCUCGAAUUGUCAUGACAAUCUGGGAUACCUUUUUGAGGAUAAAGAACCUCGGCCUGUGGCUUUCAGUUCCAGGUCUCCCCAGCUACGUGGUAGUAGCAGGGAGGGCAGAAGACAGUGGAGGCAGCCCAGGCAACCUCAGCGAGGGAGCCCUGGAAAGAAAGCAGGCGGUGAUCUGAGGCCCUACACUCCAGGCACUGGCUCCCCUACCCUGCUCUCCCCUCGGGGCCCUUUGUGCUCAGGCCUCCCUCGUGAUCUGGCAAAGGGCCCUCGCGAGAGAACAGUUUUGUACUUGGAUGGCUUCCUCCCGUGGAGGAGGUGGGGUCCCAGACUCUGCUGUGAAUGGUGCUCUGAUAAGGGAUGGGCCCUGCCAGACAUUGCAUCAGGCAGCAAAGCUCCACUCCCCUCGCUUGGCUCGCUCCGGGCCAAGAGCACAGUGGGGAUCAGGGCCUCCGCUGUGGCAGGCGCCGCUUACAGCCUUUCCGCCAGCAGGAGGAGGAGCUGCCUGGGCCAAGGAAGGCCAGGGGCUGAGAUGGAGGAAGCUCCUGGGCAGAGACAGAAGCAGUGAAGCCCACUGUGGGGAAACUCCGAACCCACUCAUGAGCUGCAGCCCUGGGGCCGGGAGGUGCCCUGACAUGCCAGGCCCCCAGACACCUAGGAGGGGAGACCUUGGGAGGGCUUCCAUGAGUGGCCUCUAGAUCCCCUUGAGUGGAGGCAGGGGCAGAACCAGGAGGAGCACGCAUGCUCAGAGGCGAUCUCUGCUGUGAGGAUGCAGGAGUGCAUCCAGUGGCCUGUCCAGACGAGGUUCUGUUUCACAUAGGGGUGUCCAGAGAUGGCCUGGGCUGUCCAACUUAGUGUCUGACAGGAGAGUAAAUGCCCGAGUGCCAUCACAUGAACCAGGGAUGGAAGGACGAAGAGAAGGCAUGCGAGAACGAGGAAGUAGCUGGGGGCCUGGCUGAGGGCCUGUACAGCCCGGGGCUGUCAUUCCUCCCCAGACCCUUCUGUUCCGGGACUCCAGCUUCCUCUCCUAAAAACAAACCAUCUAAAACUUCCUUAUGGGCACAUGUCCAGCCUCAGCCAAGACAGAACCAGAGCAGACACUCCCAAGUUGGAGGUGUGCAUCAUCUGAGCAGCAGUGGACAUCUAAGAGCUUCUGAGAAGCCGUGGGCCAGAGCCACGGGAUGGACCAGAGGGCUGAGGGCUAGCCUGGUGCAGAGGUGGGCGUGGGGGUUGCCACAGACUCUCAGGGAGCCAUCUCUGGCAGGGACAGACCCCUGCGGCCCCUUAGCCUUGUUUUCCUGUGUGAGGAUGUGGGGGAGAGUGCUCUCUAUCCUCAUUUGAAACAGUCACUUCAUCAGGGCCUGCUCAGCUGUGUGAGAAACACAUUUUGUGCAAAAUGCUGACAGCUGCAUGGAUACAGGGCCCCAGAGAAUAGUCCCCACCCCCCCACCCCCC